CCUACGGGAGGCUGCAGUGGGGAAUAUUGCACAAUGGGGGGAACCCUGAUGCAGCGAUGCCGCGUGGGGGAAGAAGGUUUUCGGAUUGUAAACUCCUUUUAUCAGGGACGAUAAUGACGGUACCUGAAGAAAAAGCUCCGGCUAACUACGUGCCAGCAGCCGCGGUAAUACGUAGGGAGCGAGCGUUGUCCGGAAUUACUGGGUGUAAAGGGAGCGUAGGCGGGACGGCAAGUCAGAUGUGAAAACUUAGGGCCCAACCUUCAGACUGCAUUUGAAACUGCUGUUCUUGAGUGAAGUAGAGGUAGGCGGAAUUCCUAGUGUAGCGGUGAAAUGCGUAGAUAUUAGGAGGAACAUCGGUGGCGAAGGCGGGUUCCUGGACAUUAACUGACGCUGAGGCACGAAGGCCAGGGGAGCGAAAGGGAUUAGAUACCCCUGUAGUC
rnacentral:rRNA from 1 species